GUGGGCUAGUUGAGAACAAGUCCUUUAUUUAACCAGGUAGGCCAGUUGAGAACAAGUCCUUUAUUUAACCAGGUAGACCAGUUGAGAACAAGUCCUUUAUUUAACCAGGUAGGCUAGUUGAGAACAAGUCCUUUAUUUAACCAGGUAGGCCAGUUGAGAACAAGUCCUUUAUUUAACCAGGUAGGCUAGUUGAGAACAAGUCCUUUAUUUAACCAGGUAGGCUAGUUGAGAACAAGUCCUUUAUUUAACCAGGUAGGCCAGUUGAGAACAAGUCCUUUAUUUAACCAGGUAGGCUAGUUGAGAACAAGUCCUUUAUUUAACCAGGUGGCUAGUUGAGAACAAGUCCUUUAUUUAACCAGGUAGGCUAGUUGAGAACAAGUCCUUUAUUUAACCAGGUUAGGCUAGUUGAGAACAAGUCCUUUAUUUAACCAGGUAGGCUAGUUGAGAACAAGUCCUUUAUUUAACCAGGUAGGCUAGUUGAGAACAAGUCCUUUAUUUAACCAGGUAGGCUAGUUGAGAACAAGUCCUUU
rnacentral:lncRNA from 1 species